UCCAAGCAACAUCCCCCAUCUUACUAGUUUCCUAUCCUUUUUAUAUAUCUCCCAACUCAUCACUGCUCCAUAGCUCUUGAACCUCUAACUUUGAGGUUUCAUAAGCUCAUCAAAAAAUAAGAGAUUUAGGUCAAAUUAGUAUCAAAUAUGAGUCCAAACAAGCCUUAUGUCUUUAUAUUACUAAUCAUCAUGCUUGUUUCAGUUUCUAAUAAACCUUCAUUUAUAGAAGCAAGGACACUUUCCUUAAAUUCAAAUCAAGGGUACUCAAAGAUUUUUCCAACACUUGGAGUUGUUUGCAAAUGUUGUGAUGGAAUUGGAGGUACUUGCACUAGUACCUGGACACAAUCUUGCAAAAAUUUGAAGUGUUCACCUUGGAAAUCACACUAGUUAUUUUUUGUGAUUUUUCUAGUUUUUCAUUUUCUGUACCUAUAUAUCAAGUUUAGAAAUAUCAAUUUUAUAAAUAUGAAGUUUGUGUCUGCUAGUGGUAAUGUGAAAAGAGUGUAUUUGUAAAAAAAACUUUGUGUCCAUAAGUUUUUUUGUUUGAAUCAAGUCAAUGGGUAUAAUAAAUGAGUAUAUAAUUAUUACCACAUGUCUAUUGCAACUUGUUGAAGUUCAAAGCUAGAUCUCAAAUAAAUUGUUGUACUGUUUAAUGAUUUUUCAUUGAUGAUAAGGGAAAAUUGUGACCUUCAACUAAAGUUGACUGAAGAGUUUAGAAGGAUAAGGGAUGGAUAUCCGGUUUUAGCUGAAGAGAUGCUAUGUCUGUAAUUUUAAUUUGUUUUGGGUUUGUUGAA